rnacentral:rRNA from 1 species
UACGUAGGGGCCGAGCGUUGUCCGGAGUUAUUGGGCGUAAAGCGCGCGCAGGCGUCCUCGCGCGCCCGACGUGAAAGCCCCCGGCUUAACCGGGGAGAGUCGUUGGGGACGGCUGGGCUUGAGGGCGGGAGAGGUCGGUGGAAUUCCCGGUGUAGUGGUGAAAUGCGUAGAGAUCGGGAGGAACACCUGUGGCGAAGGCGGCCGACUGGGCCGACCCUGACGCUGAGGCGCGAAGGCGUGGGGAGCGAACGGG